UGAAGGGGUACAGUUAGGGUUACCCCAGAAAGCCCUAAAAACUGUUUGUGAAUUCCCCCCCCCAGCCAGGCCUCAGCGUAUGCAUUUUAAAAACUGCAUUUUCCUCUAAGACAAAAAGUACGAGCUAAGCAGUCCUCUCUGUAACAAAAACGCUGUAACAAACCUACAGCUGAGAAAAGUACCUCUUUCGCUUCCCAUAUCCAAGAUAACCUUGUCCUGGCACAUUGAUUUGCAACAUACUUCCGGGAACAGAGCUAGAGAACGAAAAGCAACAUUUCUAUGUAAGAAUCUGUGAAGGGGGAGAGGAAAAAAAGGGGUUUGGGAAAAAGGAUAAAACCUGCUUGUAAAAUG